rnacentral:lncRNA from 1 species
UGGCCAUCGUCGGAAUUUCAAUUUGCUACCAUUAAUUUGCAAGGCCCUCCUCCUCCCGUUCCCUUUGUCCUCUCCUCUCUCUUCUGCACAUCCAAAUCCAACUUCCCUACCGCCAUUUUCCGCACUUCGAUAACUCGUUAACCCCUCAGUCUCUAAUUUCUUCCUCACCCCAAAAAAAAAAAACUUUCAUUUCUCUGUCUUCUUUCCAAACUUUUUUCUUCCUCCCCUGCUUACACACAAGAAUCUGUGAUGGAUGCCGCAAAUUUAGUCAUGAAAUCUUCCUUGUUUUCGAAAUCCCCAUGUCCCCUUUUUAGUUCUAAACUCAUUCCUAGAGCACCACCCUCUGUCUUUACUCUGCCUUCUACCUUUAGACCCCUCGUUAAAUGCAUACAAGCUUCAUUCCCACCAAACCCUGAUUCCAAAAAACCCUCAAACAAUUCAACCUUUACGUGUUCAGCUGUGACUUCCUUCCCUUCUCAACAAUCUCAGCCUCACGCGCCUUCCGAUGCCAAGCUCCAACUCCUGAUCUCUGAAUUCCAGUCCCUCGUCGAACCAAUGGACCGCGUGAAACGCCUCUUGCACUACUCCACACUCCUCCCUCCAAUGGACGCGUCCUUCAAAACCCCUGAGAAUCGCGUACCGGGUUGCACUACACAGGUAUGGCUGAACGUGAGUUUCGAUGAGGCUGAGAACAGGAUGAAAUUUUUGGCGGACAGUGACUCGGAAAUAACUAAAGGGUUUUGCGCGUGUUUGGUUUCGCUGCUGGACGGGGCUACUCCCGAUGAGGUGCUGGCGUUGAAAACGGAGGACUUGAAUGCUUUGAAUGUUGCGGGGUUGAACGGGAAAGGAUCGGCAUCUAGGGCGAAUACGUGGCAUAAUGUGUUGGUCAGCAUGCAGAAAAGGACAAGGGCCUUAGUUGCGGAGCGUGAAGGCAGGCCGCGCGGCGAGCUCUUUCCAUCUCUAGUAAUCACAGCUGAUGGUAUCCAACCCCAAGGCAGCUACGCUGAAGCCCAGGUACUCUUUCUUCUUUACUUGAACAUUUUAGGCAUUUAGGAAAUGCUUGUUCAUCAUUUGUUUUGUGUCCUAGAUUACUGUUUACCGUUUGUUGUUAUCUUCAAUUUAGUUAGGAUCCAUACAUAUUCUAGGCACAAUCUGAAAAUAUAGCUCAUUUAUGUUUAUAGGGCAAGGAGAAAAGAGAGAUUCACAUUAUGGCAAAAAGGAAAGAAAGAUACACGUUUAGUAUUAGUGAGGCUUGAACUUCCUGACAUUUAAAGUCCUAAGUUAGUUUCUAUUGUAAUUGCAGGCAAGGUUCCUGUUUCCUGAUGAAUCAAGGGUCCAAAAACUUGCCAAUUUGCUAAAGGAGAAGAAAAUAGGAGUUGUUGCUCAUUUCUACAUGGACCCUGAGGUGCAAGGUGUUCUAACUGCAGCGCAGAAGCUUUGGCCCCAUAUACAUAUAUCUGAUUCUUUAGUCAUGGCUGAUAAAGCUGUCAGUAUGGCAAAAGCUGGAUGUGAAUAUAUAUCUGUAUUGGGUGUAGAUUUCAUGUCAGAGAAUGUGCGAGCCAUUCUUGAUCUAGCUGGAUUCCCAGAGGUAGACACAUCCCCCGUUUUUGUGUUCUAUUAUAUGAGUGCUUUGUAGUGAUGACCUGACUUCUAAGUUAGUCCGUGUUUGCUUGGUCAACCAGUUGGGAGUACCAUUCUAAUUGAUUUCCUCGUGCUAGACAAUGUGCAAAAUUUACAAAGAAAACCCUAAGUUUUUCUGCAUAUGAUAUACACAAUAUUAAAAGAGCAGCAGGGAACAGUUUCUUCCGCUGAUAGAUGCACAAUGAAUUGUCACAUGUUAAGUUCUCUGUUUACCGCUCAAUUGGAUUCCUACUUGGAAAUUUUCCAUCUGGCUGUUUUCCUGUGAAAUAAUCCCCUAUGUUGUUGAUCUUUGUUGAACCUAAGGUAUACUUGGUUGAUAGGUAUCUUCUGCUUUAUACAGGUCCAGUUUUCUGCUAUGAAAAUGAAAUCUUUUCUGUAUAUUACCAAUUUCAUUGUGCACAUGAGUUUAUCUUCAAGGGUAAAUGGUCUAGACUAUGAAAAAAGUAUUCAGGCACUACAACUGUUCACUUUCUCUGUGUGUGUGUGUGGUUUGGGGGGGGGGGGUAGGUUUUGGACCAAGGAAUAUCAUCUUACUGAUCAGUGAAGUUAAUGAAUCUGAAGCGCAUUUGUAGGUGAAUUUGGCAACUCAAAUCUAUUUCCACUCAAAUACCCUUGAUAUCCCCCUCUACCUGUAGAUGUAGAAUGCUUCCCCCCUCAGGCGGAACGAAAUUAACAGAAGGAGAAGUUAAUGAACACCAAAAAUAAACACUGGUUGCUUGUUAUAUUUUUUAUUUGUAUCUUUAAGGCUUGAUCUCUGCUGAACAUUCCAUUUAACUGAACGUCUUAAUUUAGUAACAUUUAUGAGCUUAGUUUAAAGUGCACUGUGGCAACAAAAUAGGUAAAAUAGCAAGAGCAAGUCAAUGUAUGAAGCUUCCAAGCCUUUGAGAUUUGCCAUGUUAUUUUGGGACUAUGCUCUUUUUGGAUAUUGAUAGUUUAAUGGAUUAUAUCUAUUUACAUAACUUGACAGGCAGGUGCAAGUAUGCCGUCUCUAAUAUAUUCUGCAUGUAUUAAUACUUCUUUUUGUAGGUUGGAGUUUAUCGGAUGUCGGACGAACGCAUUGGUUGUUCUUUGGCUGAUGCUGCAGCCAGCCCAGCAUACUUGGAUUAUCUUAAAACAGCUUCAACUUCUUCUCCAUCUCUGCAUGUUGUGUACAUAAAUACUUCACUGGAGACAAAAGCAUAUUCUCAUGAGCUUGUUCCGACUAUAACAUGUACUUCCUCUAAUGUUGUGCAAACUAUUCUGCAGGUUUGUUGGUUAUUUCCAUUGAUUUAGUUUUUUUUUUCAAGUUCUUCAUAAUUCAUCUUUUGUCUUUUCAAUGAUUAAAUAUCAGUAUAUCUUCUUCAACUAAUGAAGCUGCAUCUAAUAUCGAUCCAGGCAUUUGCUGAAGUACCUGACUUGGAAGUGUUGUAUGGUCCUGAUACCUACAUGGGUUCAAACAUUGCGGAAUUGUUCACCCAGAUGUCCACGAUGACUGAUGAAGAAAUUUCUGCGAUACAUCCUUUGCACAACAGAAUCUCCAUUAAAUCUUUGCUUCCUCGACUGCAUUAUUUUCAGGUAAUUCUGAGUUUUUUACACUCAUGGAAAUGAAGGAGGUCUUAAUGGCCAUUCUUUACUGUAAUUUAAUUUGAAGCAUUGGUCAAGCGGAAGCUUUGAGGAAAGGACUGAUCUCCUCAAAGCUUUAUCUGAGAACCAUCAAUAAUGCUUCAAUUUGCUGUAUGAUAUUGUUCAGGUCUGCUAUCCCCCGUCAUCAUUUUAAUUAAUAAAUAACCUUUGUCUCCUUUGCUUUUCCCCUCCAGGAUGGGACAUGUAUUGUUCAUCACCUCUUUGGUCAUGAAGUUGUGGAGAAGAUAAAUGAAAUGUAUGGGGAUGCAUUCCUUACUGCACACUUUGAAGUUCCUGGUGAAAUGUUUUCCCUGGCAAUGGAAGCGAAGAAAAGGGGCAUGGGAGUAGUAGGUUCUACCUCGAACAUACUCGACUUUAUCAAAGAAAGGGUAGAAGAGUCCUUGAAUAGAAACGUAGAUGAACAUCUUCAGUUUGU